rnacentral:tRNA from 1 species
GUGAAUAUAGCUUAGUGGUAGAGUGCUUGCCUAGCAUGCAGGAAGCCCUAGGUUCAAUUCCUCAGUACCACA